GGAGGAAAAGAAACCAACAGGGAUUGCCCCAGUAGCGGCGAGUGAAGCGGCAAGAGCUCAGAUUUGGAAUCGUGUUUCGGCACGAGUUGUAAAUUGCAGGUUGGAGUCUUUGUGGAAGCGUGUGUCCAAGUCCCUUGGAACAGGGCGCCAUUGAGGGUGAGAGCCCCGUGGGAUGCGCGCGGAAGCAACAAGGCCCUUCUGACGAGUCGAGUUGUUUGGGAAUGCAGCUCUAAGCGGGUGGUAAAUUCCAUCUAAGGCUAAAUACUGGCGAGAGACCGAUAGCGAACAAGUACUGUGAAGGAAAGAUGAAAAGCACUUUGAAAAGAGAGUGAAACAGCACGUGAAAUUGUUGAAAGGGAAGGGUAUUGGGCCCGACAUGGGGAUUGCGCAUCUCUGCUCCUUGUGGGCGGGGCGCUGUGCUUUUCCUGGGCCAGCAUCGGUUUUUGCCGCAGGAGAAGGGGUACUGGAAUGUGGCUCCUCGGAGUGUUAUAGCCAGUGCCAGAUGCUGCGUGCGGGGACCGAGGGCUGCGACAUCUUCUCGGAUG
rnacentral:rRNA from 1 species